rnacentral:rRNA from 1 species
UACAGAGGUGGCAAGCGUUGUUCGGAAUUACUGGGCGUAAAGGGCGCGUAGGCGGCCUUCUAAGUCAGACGUGAAAUCCCCCGGCUUAACCUGGGAACUGCGUCUGAUACUGGGAGGCCAGAGUAUGGGAGAGGGAUGUAGAAUUCCAGGUGUAGCGGUGAAAUGCGUAGAUAUCUGGAGGAAUACCGGUGGCGAAGGCGGCAUCCUGGACCAUUACUGACGCUGAGGCGCGAAAGCUAGGGGAGCAAACGGG